UGCCAGCAGCCGCGGUAAGACGGAGGGCUCUAACGUUGUUCGGAAUCACUGGGCAUAAAGUGCACGUAGGCGGCUCGCUCAGUCGGGUGUGAAAGCCCUCGGCUCAACCGGGGAACUGCAUUCGAUACUGGCGGGCUCGAGGAUGGCAGGGGUAAGUGGAACUCCAGGUGGAACGGUGAAAUGUGUAGAUAUCUGGAGGAACACCGGUGGCGAAAGCGGCUUACUGGGCCGUCUCUGACGCUGAGGUGCGAAAGCUAGGGUAGCGAACGGGAUUAGAUA
rnacentral:rRNA from 1 species